UAGUCUACGCCGUAAACGAUGGUUACUAGCUGUUUGGUCGAUUGAGACUGAGUGGCUAAGCGAAAGUGAUAAGUAACCCACCUGGGGAGUACGUUCGCAAGAAUGAAACUCAAAGGAAUUGACGGGGGCCCGCACAAGCGGUGGAGCAUGUGGUUUAAUUCGAUGAUACGCGAGGAACCUUACCAGGGCUUAAAUGUAGUCUGACAGAUUUGGAAACAGAUUUUUCUUCGGACAGAUUACAAGGUGCUGCAUGGUUGUCGUCAGCUCGUGCCGUGAGGUGUCAGGUUAAGUCCUAUAACGAGCGCAACCCCUGUGGUUAGUUGCCAGCGAGUCAAGUCGGGAACUCUAGCCAGACUGCCGGUGCAAACCGUGAGGAAGGUGGGGAUGACGUCAAAUCAUCACGGCCCUUACGUCCUGGGCCACACACGUGCUACAAUGGUAGGGACAGAGAGCAGCCACUUCGCGAGAAGGAGCGAAUCUUCAAACCCUAUCACAGUUCGGAUCGC
rnacentral:rRNA from 1 species